UCUACUAAAAUCAAAAACAUAUUAGCUGGGUUUGAUGACACAUGCCGGUAGUUCCAGAUACUUAUGAGGCUGAGGCGGGAGGAUCACUUGAGCCCAGGAGAUUGUGGCUGCAGUGAGCUAUGAUGACACACCCUGGCAACUGUUUGCUGCUGAGUAACUGCUUACCUUACACAGAUCUGUAACGGAUGUCACCACUUCAAAGAACUGUAAUCCUGUGUUUGAUACACUCCUCCUGCCCCCAGGACAGUAUCUGUGUGAGAGAAGGGAAGCCGGGGACCCAGAAACGGUCUGCAGGGAGGUGAGCUGGAAUGGCAAUAAAUGGUACACGGAAGAGCUUUGCGUCUAAUGAUGACCUUCAGCUUUCCUGCUGCUUUCUGCCUAGGUUUUGUUUCUAAGUAUCUGGGCUUUGAAGGAUGGGGGUGGAGGGAUUCAAAGAAGAUGUUUAGGAGGAGCCAAUCCCACUAGCAGAUAUUGUUGCUCUAACUCUGCCUGAGGAGCAAUUUCUGGCCUUGAGUUAUGAUCCCAAACAGGAAGUGCUUCUGAGUUCCUCCAAACAAGGUUUUUGCUACUUCAGGAAACCGUAGUUGUUGGCUGAUAGAAAAAUUACAGCAGCAUUAUACAGUUCUUCUAUUGAGGAAAACCAGACCAGCCACUCAAGUAAUGAACCCCUCAUGACAUCUAACCAAAACUGCCGCUGAGUCUUUUGUUCCAGAAUGUUUGCGCUCUAUGGCCAGGAAAAGUCGCUUACUGGUAACCAUCUACAGAUUGAAACUCCUCUUGGGAUCCUGACCAAGUAAGGACACAGUGAGAAGACAAC